AGCCGGUGCUUAUAUUCAAGAGUACAGCAAUGUUCGUAUAGAUAAUUAAAGGCAAAUGUGGGAUCCUUGAAUUUUGUGUUCGUAAAAAAGGCGAAGAAAUAUUUACAUACAUGGCAGUGUUAACAAAAUUUAUAAGUAUUUUUGUUGGUCACAUUUCAGUAUAUAGGACUUCCAAACUGUUCCCUUUUUUUUUAAGGUAGUGAAGUCAGCAACUGUAGUUUCAGUUUGUUCGUUUUUAAACGGGCUCGGACAUUUGCCAAACUG
rnacentral:lncRNA from 1 species